rnacentral:tRNA from 1 species
GGGGGUGUACAGCUCAGUGGUAGAGCAUUCGGCUGCAGGUCGAGAGGUCUCCGGUUCAAACCCGGGUGUCCCCU